UACGGGGGGUGCAAGCGUUGUUCGGAAUUAUUGGGCGUAAAGCGCGUGUAGGCGGUUUGAUUAGUCUGAUGUGAAAGCCCUGGGCUCAACCCAGGAAGUGCAUUGGAUACUGUCAGACUUGAAUACGGGAGAGGGUAGUGGAAUUCCUAGUGUAGGAGUGAAAUCCGUAGAUAUUAGGAGGAACACCGGUGGCGAAGGCGGCUACCUGGACCGAUAUUGACACUCAGACCCGAAAGUGCGGGGAUCAAACAGG
rnacentral:rRNA from 1 species